GGGCCCAGUCGCGUCGGGCCUCCCGAGGGGGCUGCGAGUGUCAGUCGGCUCUCCGCACGUGUCCGCGGCCUCGCGGAGCAGUCCACCCCUGGCUGGUUUCUGCUUCCACCUGCUGAUCUCACAGAGGUGAGGUGAUAACAGUGAUGAAACAAAAUCUUCAAACCACAGCACACACUGCAAGCUAUUUGGCAUAUGAAGGUCUUGACCUGAGAAAACCAUCUUGGAUAACUGCAGCAAGGAAAAGGAAAAAUGCAACACCUAGGAGAUUUCAGUAAACAGUAGAAUCAUGCCAACCUAAUCUGUGUUAAAAUGCUUGGAAUGUGGGAGCCGCUGAUGAUGCCUCUUGUCUGUGUGUCUGACUGAAUCCUUUCUUUUCUCAGAGCAGCAAAGCAAAGCCUGGGAACCAGGCCAAAUGCCUGCCACUUACCUUAAAUUGAUCAGCCACUUUGAGAUUAAAACCCCUGAAAGCUGCCACACCGUGAAAACAAGGCCUCCUUCACAUUAAAGGCAAAUUGCGACUUUG
rnacentral:lncRNA from 1 species